CGAAUAGGGAGAAAGAAAAGAGGGCAGCAGUUGCAUGUAGGACGUGAAAAAAAGAGAAACCUUCAAUGGUGGGGUCGACUAUUGUUGCCGGGUUUUUUUAAAGGCGGUCAAUGCUGUUGAACAGCGAUGAUUCGUAAUAAUGUGUCGUGUGGUACGCGGAAACUUCUAGGACGUGCAGCCGGUGUGGUUGAAAUGCGAUAAGUCGUGGUAAUGUCUCGUUUCGGUCACCUCCAGGACGAAUGUGUGGGAACAC